rnacentral:lncRNA from 1 species
UUUAAAAGCUUUAAAUAAACUCUUAAUUGAUUAUGUUUCCCAAAGCGACAUUCUGUGGUUUCUGGGGGGGGAAAGCAUUAUUCUCAAUUCCUCGGUGGGCCUUCAGAAGUGCAGAGCUUUUCAAGAGAGUGAAGGAUUACACAUUUGUGUUUCAAAAGAUGCCAUCCCUCUGCCCCCCUCCCUUUUGCCUGCCAAAAAAUAAAAAUAAAAAUAAAAAAAAUCCCUGCUGCCAGUUCCAUUCCUCAUGCUCUUCACUUUGCUCAGCUCCAGUUCCAACUCACUGUGCCAAACGCUCUCCUUUUCUUUCAGGCUUUCUUUUUCUUCGGCUUUUCCCUUUAAAAAAGAAGUAAAAACAAGUGUGUGUUGCCAUGGCAAUAAUGUGAAAAUGAGCCAUUGGUGUUGAUUUGAGUCUGUCCAAACUUUUUUUUUUAAAGGCCUUUAAAGAACAGGAAGGAGAACAGAGAGGGAGAUAGGAGAGAGAGAGAGGGAGAGGGAGAGAGAGAUGAAAAGUGGGGCAAAAUCGCUGGAAAUGCAUUUGGGCUGACAUAAUUCCUCUUUCCCACAGUGGUCAUUCACUUGGGAGGCUCCAAUGUCCAUUCACUGUCUUAAAGCUAGCUUUUCAGAGCCUGGGGAGGCCAUCUUUCGCUGCCUGAAUGCCUUUUUUGUUGCUAAACAGUGAACUGUUUCUGAAGCCCAGCAUAAAGGAGGUGAGUAAUUCAUUGCAGUUGCCAGGAAGUCUGAGCCACUUGUGAGCUAACAAUAGUAAACUUUAUCUCCCACCCUGAGCCGAAGGUUCCAGCUGAAGAUCCAGAAUUCUAAUAAGGGCCUUUUACUCUCUCAUGCCUCCGAGGUUAUGGUAAUAGUUUAGACAUCUUUUUUCAUUAGGACGCAGCCAUAGCUACAACCACGGCAGUCGAGGCAAGCAACUGCGUGGAAUGAAGCUGGGGAGAGGUGGGAUUAAAAGGGAAACGCAGAAAAAUAACUUUAAACCAAUUCAUAAACUAAGAACGUAUACAUUGACCACUAAUAAUGAAACAUAUGUUUUCCAUAUUUGUUAUGCUAUUUUUGUGAUAUACAAAUGACGUGAGAAAACUUGGUAUACUUCUUUGUAUAACAUUAUUCUUGUUUAUAAAACCCAAUUUUUAAAAAUUGCCUGUUUCAUAUGAAAUAGAAAACCUGUGUUGAAAGGAAUGCGUUCUAAGCCUCUGAGACAAUGGAGAUCUACCCCACCCACAGUGUUUGAAAAAAGAGCAUCUCAUGUGAAGCUUGCCUUCCUUCCCACCUCCCCUGGCUUUGAACAGGAAGGACAACUUGGUGCUAAAGAACACAGAGUGACUCAUGAGCAACAGCGAUGACUCUGUUUGGGCUUCCCUUUGAAACCGAAUUUGGGUGUCAACAGCAGAAGGGCUGAGAAGACUUCUGCACGAUGACAGCCGCUCUAAAUGUAUGUAGGAAUGACACACAGGCAUGUGAUUCAUGCAUCAGGACACCAAAUGCAGAAAACGAUGAGUGCUUUGAAAGAAGACACAGAACAGAACACCAUUUUUUCCUAGCUUAUUAGGAGUUUGCCCAGGAAUGAAGAGCGCUAGCUUCAUGGCAGGGACAGAGCCACAGGAGCUACUUUGUGGGCUCAUGUGUGGCAUGCUGAAAACAACCACCUAUUUAUCCUUUUUGAAAUUCGCCAGCCAGCAAGAUGUGUGGGUGGGUGUGCGUGUGGGUGUUUCAGUGUGUCUGCUGAAAUUUUCUUGCUGGGUCAGAAAGGCAGACCUAUUCAGAGAGCUCUUCCAUGCCUUUGGCUAGGGCUCCAUCCUCCCCAUGGUGCCUUGAGAGAAAGCUUCAAAAAUGCCUGGAUGGAUACAAAGCUGGGCAGCUCUGCAACAUCCACUUAGCGUGCUAUAAACUAAGGGGGAGGGAAGGGGGAAAAUGGAUUCAAAUGUGAAUACAAAUAAGAAAUGAGUUUUGAUCUGAAAACUGAGACAAAGACAUUUGUGCUCUGUUGGCAUUCCUUGUACAAGGCAACAGUGUGCCCUUGAGCUGCGGAGGAUUUUUGCUGAUGCCUGUGAUGUGAAUCAGAUCACUGUGUGGCCUGUCCAUUUUUAUGUAUGUUCAAGCACUGGAGGGUGUCAGGGAGAAGAGGCACCUGGAAAAGGACCCCCUCUGCCCUCUCUAGUAAGGAACAAGUGAGGUCACACUAUCCCUAGAUGUCAUAAAAUGCUGUUUGCUAACUGCUAGAAAUUUGGUCAACUUGCCCCCACAGCACUUCCUCCCUCACAUAAUUUCCCUCAUGCUACUCUAGAGGACAAGUCAGCAUGGUCUAUUAACCUCUCUUUGAGUGGGCUGUCUGUGUGGUUGAACGUCAAAAAUCCUGUAGGAUGCUUUUAUAGGAAUGCUGUUCUCCUAUCCAACAGUCUCCCCUGGUUUGGGGGUUCCAUUAGUGCAAAUCUAUAUAAAAAAGUAAGCCCUACUGAGUUCAAUGGGACUUUCUUCAAGAAAACUGCAUCUGAUUGCAGCUUAGAUUUUCUAGUCUUGUUCAUGGAGUGCCCCUAAAAAUUUACCAAUCUGCUAUGCUUCCAUUUUUAAACCCCCCCCCCCACUAUGCAGACAUCAUUGUGCAUAAACAUUUUGUCAUUGUUUUUGGGGCUUUUCAUUCAUUGGUCCCUACUCACCAUUGCAUCAAGAUGCCUUUGUGCAAAAUAUUGCAUGUAUGUACAGACAUUCUUGUGCACAUUGGCAACCUAGACGGACAGCUGAGGCAAACUGCACAUGCUUGUACCACUUCCAGAAAUUUUUAAUUUUUUUUUACAGGAGAUGGUUCUGUCAGGCAAGCAGAAAUACUUGUGCUGAUGGAGCCAUUGCCUUAGUGCUGUGUUGAAUAUAACACCAUAACUUUACAUAAGGCAACAAAACAGGAAGCAGAUAUUAGGGUCAUGAUGGGCAGCAUAAGGGAAAUUCAGAUAUGCGGUCCCCUGGGGGGGGGGGAAUCCAUGCUUUGGAUCAUCAGGAAAGGAACUGGAAACGAAACUAGUGGUAUCAUAAUGCUCAUAAAUAAAAUUAAGGUUGGCGUCACAAAACCCCGUGAAUGGAUGGAUCUGCCUGAAAUUUGGCAGGCUUCACCCACUCUGGAGGGCUCCUUUGCCUGCAAAUUUCAUCCAGUUAUGUGAAAAGCAGAAAUAUUUUUAGAUUUCCCAUUAUAGACAAAAAAAAGAGCUUUGGAUUAACAUAUCAGAGUUGGACCAAACUGAAAUGACACAGACAGGAUCCAAAAAUGUUUGGGCUGCUUUCCAAAUGCUACAGAUGCAAUGCAAAUCAUGUGGUUGCUGUGCCCCCUCCAUAGAAUGUACUACAGAAGACAGGCCAAAGUCUGGGGUCUGCGGGAGACUCUUUCCAUGAUGUAGUAUUUGUUUAUUAAUCGUGAAAUGACUCCAAAGCCUUUCUAUCUAUUUCAUGAGAACUAAAUGGAAAAAUUGAUUGGGUCAAUAUGGUCUAUACUGGUAUUCAGAAGCAUUAUGCUUGUAGGAUUCCCACAGGCAUCUGGUUGGCCACUGUGAGAACAGGAUGCUGGUCUAGUUAUGCCAUUGGCCUGAUCCAGGAGACUUUCCUUGCAUUCUUAGCCAGCUGGGCAUUCAAGGUUUGUACUAGUGCUGCACUUGAUCUGGAGUAGGAGGCCUGAAGCUGAAUGCAAGGAAUUGUUUCCAGCCAAUCAUUCCCAGUGAAAAUAGCGAUCAUAUAUGCUGAUAGCCAAUGCAAAGUAACACCUUCCAAAAUCAGGAGGCGAUUCUAUGAUUCUCAAUACGCUAUAAUUGUUGAAAGGUGUUUUUAACAUACACAGAAAGCUACCUGUACAUAUGCAUAGUGUGUAUCUAUAUGAAAGUAUGGUGAUAAAUAUAUAUGUAUAUACAGUGGUACCUCGGUUUUUGAAAAUCUCCGUUGACAAACAUUUCGGUUUUCGAACGCCGUAAGUCGAACAUGCCAUGCGGCUUCUCCUGAGUGUAAGAUCCUCAGGCCUAGCUGUCGGCUAUUGAGUUUUUGGUUUUUGAAUGUUUCAGAAUUCGAAUGGUCUUCCGGAACGGAUUACGUUAAAAAACCGAGGUACCAUUGUAGUUUUUUUGAGCAAGAACUUGGAGGAACUGCCUUCUCUUCCCUUUAAUAAAAUUAAAUAAUCAUAUUUUUUUGUGUCUGUGGCGGCUGAAAUGGAUAUACACCCAAUGCCUGAGCCCAAAAUCCCCCUAUAUCUGCAAUCAAUAAAGUUGUGACCAUUUCUAAUCC